GUCCUUAUAGCAGCCAUAGGGAUAUAUAUUUUACUCUGCUUACGAUCUGUUGUAUCAGCACUCAUUGCACACCCAUCUGCAGCCCCCAAACGGACAAUAUUUUGUGCUCCAUCGCAGUGCAAUUUAACAAUCAUUCAAUCUUCAUCAUUUAACCAUUUUUGCCAGCACUUUUGCCCCUUUGGUUGUUGCCAGUUUGGACGCAGCGCAGCAAUAAUAAUGAUAAUUUUGUUAAUAGUAUUCGAACUGUGUUCUGUGCUGCCGUUGACGUCGCCAGGCGGCCAGGCGGCCAGGCGGCUCAUCGUGAACUGAGUACACAAUGGCUAAAGUACAUACCAGAUACAGAUACAACAACUACAGCUCAUGCGGCAGAACAAACCCAAACAGAGAAGGAAGCAAUAGCGACAAAAAAAAAAAACAAAUAUACAAAAUACGAAAAAAAAAAAAAUAACGUAAAGUAAAAUAAACCGCAGAGCGAAGCGCGAAACGGCAGCGAAAAAUAAGCGACGCCAGCAGUUUGUCACUCAAUCGCCCAGACAUCAGUCGCGUUUUCGGAUCGACAGAACGAAAAACGAAAAAACGGAAAAACUACCAAAAAGUCUCGACGAGUAUCUAACAGAUACUCGCAAAUCGGAGACGUGCUCGCCGAUCGCCGAACGCCGCUGUAAUCUGAGUACAAAAACCGAUUUGUGAGAGACAUUUUAUUGGGCAGCGGGGCAGCUUUACAUUUGCCGCGCACGCGUGUUCCACAGCCAAAGUUAAAGUUCAAGACGUGCGCCGAUCCGAUCCGAUCCGUUGCAGUUUUUAAUAUAGCCCAGGAGGCCCAUAAAACUACAACAACAACAACAACAAACAACAAAACAAGCAAG